rnacentral:piRNA from 1 species
UAAAAGGAAGCAUUGCUCUGAAGCAUACUC